UCACAGGGUCUUCUUUGGAUCUAUAUUUUAAUUGGGGUAGCCCCCAAAAUAUUGGGACAUAUAAAAAAAGACAACUCUGUUCCGCAGAGUAGCUGUUGACAUUAUAGUUGCGCAUGAACUUUGUUGACUCGGCGGUGACUUUGCAUGCGGAUGUCAUCAAUAUCAACUUUCUAUGCCAGUUUCUGCGCCUACUAUGGUGACCACGGGUAACGGGGAAUCAGGGUUCCAUUCCGUACAGGGACCCAGAGAAACGGCUACCACAUGCAAGGCAGGCAGCAGGCGCGCAAAUGACUCACUCCCGGCGCGGGAUGGUAAUGACGA